rnacentral:rRNA from 1 species
GACGAACGCUGGCGGCGUGCUUAAUACAUGCAAGUCGACUUGCUUUUGAUUAGCAAUAGUCAAAAGAGAGUGGCGCACGGGUGAGUAACACGUAGAUAAUCUACCUCAGGACUGACAUAAUGUAGAGAAAUCUGCACUAAUAUCAGAUGAAACAAAAUCCUGGCAUCAGAGAUUUUGUCAAAGUUUUAACGCCUGAAGAUGAGUCUGCGGUCCAUUAGGUAGUUGGCGGUUUAACAGACCACCAAGCCGACGAUGGAUAGCUGGUCUGAGAGGAUGAUCAGCCACACUGGAACUGAGACACGGUCCAGACUCCUACGGGAGGCAGCAGUAAGGAAUAUUGCUCAUGGAGAAUCCUGAAGCAGCAACGCCGCGUGGAGGAGUGAAGGGC